CCGCCGCCGCCUGAGGGAAGAGGAAGAAGGCAGCGGCUUCGCGUCCCGCCUCUCGCCUGGCUGGCCAUGGGCGGCCUGGACGCGGUUCCCUUGUCCUCCCCGGCGGCCUCUCGAAUCUCCCAGGAAUCCUAAUGUCACCCGAGGAUGCUGGGAGGAACGCUGAGCCGACCUCUCCAUUGGGCUAAAGACUGCACAAACCAUGAUAAUGGCCAGCAAGGAUGGAGGGAGCGUAUGAGAUGUGCCGGGCAGUGUGCUACGUCUCAGCCAACUCUAGGAGGAAGCAUGGUCAUGGCAAUACCUGGAGUCUCCACCGCAAGACCAGAGUGAUGGAGGCAGCAGAGCUCCUCAGCAGACCAGGAGUCUCCAGAGGCACUGCAGAAUGUCUAGGAAGCAACCUCAUUGUAUUCCCAAGACCCGGGAAUCCAGGUCUCACAGGACCUGGCACUGGGCUCCGGGCCGCCCCUGCCCCUGGUCCGUCAGUGUUGCUCAAACUAGAAACAGAAGCCAUGCUGGAAGACAGACAGAGCCGCUGA
rnacentral:lncRNA from 1 species